ACGCCUAUACACCGCCAAAUCGCUAGGAAGCCACGUAUUCACGAAGCCACGCAGUGACGUCGCCACGCACGUACGCACGCACUUGCCACAAGGAGACGCUGUUCAGUUUACCGGAUCCUGUCCCGCGCCAGCCAACCAGGACAAGGCCGGGGAGCUCGAGACAGGCAGCCUAGACCAAGAACCGGAAGGAGGAAAAGGAACCGGAGGGAGGAAGAGGAGGGGCGGGACGAGACCACCAGGCAAGAGUCCAAACUUUCCCGCGGCGACCUAACUGCACCUCCAGUGUCUUCCCCCAGAGGGCACAGAAGCAGCAAGAAGGGCGGGAACACUUGACUGGGGUCCAUGCAGCUCUAGGCUGAGUCUUGCAGGGCUGAGCCCCCCAGGCCUGCUCUCCUGUGUCCUGGCCGCUCCGUCAGUGCCUGCCAGUGGGGUCCAGAGGGACCGUUUUUUUAACGCCUCUUUUGCAGUGAGAUGCGCCUACUUCUCCCUGGAGAAGCUUGAGGAAGCAGAAAUGCUGGAGAUGAGCUGCUCCUCACUCUCACUCCUGGGUGUGCUGGGCAGUGGGGUGCAAUGUGCACGUAGGUGCACACUCUCCCUGGGCGGCAGCGAGCAGCAGAGGUCUGAUCUGUGGUCGGAUGACGAGAGGAAGUGCAAGUAAAGCAGCUGCAGCGAGACCUCGUCCGCACAGGGGCUUGUUCUUCUGUGUCUUUGCAGGGCUGUUUUGGACUCAGUAUUCACCUAAGCACUCCAAAUUACCCAGCACACCCUGCCUGCAUGGCGCUGCGCUGCACCUUCACUCUGGUCACGGGUCUGGCAGUCAGCUCACCAAUUCCUCCUGCUUCCCUGGGACUUGCCGGCUUUUAGCACUGCAAUUCACUCAGCAAACUGGGACUGUUGGUCACCCUACCUGGCAGCCAGUGAUAAGGUGAGGGCCACUCCUGGGAGGGAGGACACCUGUGGGGAAAAUUCUUGUGUUAUUUAUUUCUCCUUCGGGAUAGGGUGCCUGCAGCGCUUCAUGGGAGGGGGUGGGCUGAUGCUGCGGGCUCAGAAGUUUCAAGGGCAUCUGGGGAGACCAGAUAUUCAGAGACCUUCUAGAUGUGCCUGUUCCAUGUAUCAGGGACGCAGGUUUUCCCAACAGGGCUGGUGUCAUUGGCAUGACAGACCUGCCUUGGCUGAGCGUUCACCUGUCUUUGGAGUUCAGCCACCUUAGCAAGUCCUGGGUUUGUUCUUCAGACUUUGCUGCUCGCCCAUUGCCUGGAUCGGGGGCUACUUUGUAAACCACCAGGAAGACUCCAGUGUUUCUGGUUAAUUUUUAGAUGUUUGUUAAUUGCUCUUGGUCUCUCAUUAAUCCCCUGUGGGUCAUCCAGGAAACAUACUCACCACUGUCUGUUCUCUGAGUUUUCAUUUCCAGGCAUCCGCCCUGCCUGGAUCUCCUCACCUGCCAGGAACUUCCUCUCCACAAGCCGGCCAUCCCAGCAAAAGUUCUAACACCAAAGGUCUGGCAACUAGCCUGCCAUCUUGUGCCUGGAGCCGCCUGCGUGCCACCUACUCCCGAAGAUGGGAACCUUGUUGCCAGUUGGGCAGAUGCGGGGCAAUCCUGUACCAAGACCCCAUUUUACCACCUGCUUUCUCAGACCACUCUGGAACCCACUGUCUCAGAUUGUGUCCUCCAGGAAGCAGACCAUGAGAGGGAGUUGGCAGGGCCAAAGAUUUACUGGGGCUAACUAACACUCAGGAAAGGGAUAGGAAGGAAACAGGGCUGGAGAGCAGGUUGAGCCCGACCUGACAGUCUCGAGCAGCCCAACAGGGAGGUGUGGAGCAAGGGUUGCCCACUAGAGGGGCCUGCAUUGGGUACGGGUGAUGGGGUCCACAUGGUACCUGGCAUAUAGCAGGCUGUGCAAUCCAUAUUAACUGACUGGAUAAAUUAAUGCCCAGAAAAGGUGCCCUGGAGAAUGGGUGUGUGCUGAACACAAUAGGGAAGGGCCCAGCAUCUGCCUUGGCAUAGGCAGAACUGUGCUGUGCCCUGCAACAGGCCACCUGAGAGCUGCUUUGAUCUUGUGUGUACAUUAGAUGACUGCCAGGGGCAUGAAGGGGAUGUGCUUCCAGGGCAUUUGCUGGCAGGGCGUCUCGUGAUCUCUUGGUAUUGGUGUGAGCACAGCCUGGCAGGAGAGGGCAGAUCUCCAUGCAAAGUAUGUCAGAAAGCAGAUGGAAGCCAGGCCCCCUCCUGAAAGAGGCUCCUUGAAGGCUCCUGGGACCACAUUAUCAUUCUCUUCACUCGAGAGAUGAGGACACUGAAAUUCAGAGAGGGGAAGUGAUUUGCCUCAGCUUGUACUAAAGAAACAUUUCAACAGAGAACCCAGUGGAAAUUAUGACAUGUUAUCUUCUCAGAGUCCUGAACUCCCAUCCCUACCUCAGAAGAGACUCCUCUGUUCACAGAAGCUAAAGGCAGUUCCUUCCCAAUGGCAACUAUGUUUGGAUGUUGGAUCUACACUUUCUCAAGCACUGUGAUCUUCAAAUCAAAGGAGAUUUCUCCCAUUAUAUACUUCUUAUGAUCAACAAAUUCCAUCAUCUCCCCACUAAGAGAAAGUACUCCAAGAUGAUAGAAUGAUUUUAAAGUUAUGGGACUACAACAGCAGCCACAGGAACCUUGAACUGCCAUCCAGGGCCAUGCAGCAAACAAGCAACAGGGAAAUAUCCCACUAUGCAAUCCUAUUUUGAGAUGAUAUUUAGGAUGAGAGAACAUGCAUUAGUUACCUACCAGCUUGACAGGAAUGGAUUUCCAAAUCUGACACACCAUAGCCUGAAUUCUCACCAGUUUGCUCCUGGAAAGGCCCGCUCAUGCAUGAGCCCCUGCCACUCUUCUAAAUAAGCUUCCAGGCAUUACCUGCAUGCUGUGUUCCUGUGGUGGGAUGGCAGUAAUCUCUGCUAAGAUAAACGGGAGCUUCUGUGGAUAAAGCAUAAACGCAGUGAAGUGUGUGUGGCUGGAAGAUUUAAUGCCUCUACAGUGCUUAGAUACAAGUUGAGCUUGGAAUUCCAGAGGUAGAGCACUGCUGAUUGGAGACAUAUUAAGUAAAAUGUACUGUGGAAAUGAGAUAAAACCUUUAUUCUUGCUAAUGAUUGUCAUUGUAUGUAUUCAGGUGUCCAACAAAGGAUUUUAGAAUAAAGUGUGCCUUUAAAGUUUC
rnacentral:lncRNA from 1 species